rnacentral:tRNA from 1 species
GGAUUGGUAACAUAAUGGAUUAAUGUGUCUGACUGCAGAUCAGUUUUAUGUGAGUUCAAUUCUCACCCAAUCCU